rnacentral:piRNA from 1 species
UAACGCUUUCUCAGGGAAAAC